rnacentral:rRNA from 1 species
GAUGAACGCUGGCGGCGUGCCUAAUACAUGCAAGUCGAGCGAAUGGAUUAAGAGCUUGCUCUUAUGAAGUUAGCGGCGGACGGGUGAGUAACACGUGGGUAACCUGCCCAUAAGACUGGGAUAACUCCGGGAAACCGGGGCUAAUACCGGAUAACAUUUUGAACCGCAUGGUUCGAAAUUGAAAGGCGGCUUCGGCUGUUACUUAUGGAUGGACCUGCGUCGCAUUAGCUAGUUGGUGAGGUAACGGCUCACCAAGGCAACGAUGCGUAGCCGACCUGAGAGGGUGAUCGGCCACACUGGGACUGAGACACGGCCCAGACUCCUACGGGAGGCAGCAGUAGGGAAUCUUCCGCAAUGGACGAAAGUCUGACGGAGCAACGCCGCGUGAGUGAUGAAGGCUUUCGGGUCGUAAGACUCUGUUGUUAGGGAAGAACAAGUGCUAGUUGAAUAAGCUGGCACCUUGACGGUACCUAACCAGAAAGCCACGGCUAACUACGUGCCAGCCGCCGCGGUAA